rnacentral:lncRNA from 1 species
GACUCUCAACUCCGUUCUUGGGUUCCUCGAGGCUGUCCUCUCUUCUCCCCUUCUCUUCCUGGUUCAUUUUAUCACGUUUUUUGAGCUGGUGCUUUUUCAGCGGGAGCGGUCGCUGCACCUUCUCCAUGACUCCAACAGAAGUCGCUCUGGGGAGCUUCCCAAGGUCCUUGUUUCGGAGGUGGUAUCCUUCUGCGGCGGCAGGGGCUCCGUCGACCUCGCUGUCCCUACACAGGGUGGUAAAGGAGCAAGCCUGAAGCUGACUUUUGUUUGGGACAAAACCGAAAAUCCUUUUUAGCAUAUGGAGUGGGCUCCUCCCUGUGCCUCUUUGCUUCCUCUAGAUCCUCACCUCGGAUCUGGAGGCUAGAGAUUUUGGCAGCGAGACCCAGCACUGAUCCAAUUGCAACCCCAGCAACUCUAGCAAAGGGAUUGAACUACACAUGUCGCUCUGGGGAGCUUCCCCAGCUCCUUGGUUCGGAGGUGGUAUCCUCUGGUGGUGGUCUUCCCCAAAGGGCUAUUAAGUGGCACUUCCAUCAAGAGGGUUAUUUCUACACUCAGUCCAAGAUGUGGAGAAUCUUUGUCUUGAUUAUUGUAGGCAAGUAGACAAAAGACCCUGAUACUUUCAUUAAACCUUUAGGUAGAUGUUGCUGGUUUGGGGCUUCUGAAACUCGGCCAUCUUGUCUCACCUCAACUAUGGAAAUAGUAUGAAUUCGUGUGUUUCUCUUUGAACUAGUCUCAGAAAGGAAUCCUAAUCUUAGUGUUUCUGGGAGAAUAGACUUUCAUCUGGGGGGGGCGGGGGGAGAGGGGAGGCAGCCCAUGUCUGUUCAUCUAUUGCUUCAGUCUGUGAGGGGCAGGAAGAGGUCUGGAAGAACCAUUCAAGUUCAUGGGGUUGUUUGGGGGAGUGGUGCUCACUGAUGAGAACUGGUUCCACCAUAGCAAACAUCCUUCUCCACCUCUAAAAGCAAGGAAGCACAUUGGAGAUUAACCUGUACCCUCUCUACUUGGCACAGCUAUAUGUGAGUUCAUCUUCCACAUACAGUAAAAUGAUGGAAAAGCAUGUUAUCUUUGCUGAUAACAUGGUUUUAAACAGCUUCUCACUAGAGGAGGAGUAGCCUCCAUUGAUGAUACCAUUAUAAAGAGUGGCUUGGCACCAGCUUAAAUUUUGUAGGUAUUCUCCAAUAUUUAAAGAAUACUAAAUCACAUUCUUUAAGAACAACAAAGCUCACUAACAGAUACAAUAAAUUGCGGAAGUUUGGGUCUUUCUCCA